AAUCUUGCGCAAUGGCCGCAAGGCUGACGCAGCGACGCCGCGUGGGGGAGGAAGGCCCUCGGGUUGUAAACCCCUGUUGCCCGGGACGAACCCCUGGUUUCGACCAGGCUGACGGUACCGGGUGAGGAAGCACCGGCUAACUCCGUGCCAGCAGCCGCGGUAAUACGGAGGGUGCGAGCGUUGUCCGGAAUCACUGGGCGUAAAGGGCGCGUAGGCGGCCUGGUAAGCGGGCGGUGAAAGCCCGGGGCUCAACCCCGGGUCGGCCGUGCGAACUGCUGGGCUCGAGCACUGUAGAGGCGGGUGGAAUUCCGGGUGUAGCGGUGGAAUGCGUAGAGAUCCGGAAGAACACCGGUGGCGAAGGCGGCCCGCUGGGCAGUGGCUGACGCUGAGGCGCGACAGCGUGGGGAGCAAAC
rnacentral:rRNA from 1 species